rnacentral:rRNA from 1 species
GACGAACGCUGGCGGCGUGCUUAACACAUGCAAGUCGACGACGCUACUGAGUAGCAAUAUUUAGUAGUGGAGUGGCGCAAGGGUGAGUAAUGUAUACGUAACUAACCCAUCGGAGACGGAUAACAUUUCGAAAGGGAUGCUAAAACGGCAUGAAGCCACGAUUUCGCAUGAGAUUGUGGUUAAAGAACCGGUAACAGGUUGCCGAUGGCUGGGCGUAUAUCCGAUUAGCUAGUUGGUAGUGUAAUGGACUACCAAGGCGACGAUCGGUAGCUGGUCUGAGAGGAUGAUCAGCCACACUGGCACUGAGACACGGGCCAGACUCCUACGGGAGGCAGCAGUGGGGAAUAUUGGGCAAUGCCCGCAAGGGUGACCCAGCAACGCCGCGUGGAGGAUGAAGGCCGUAAGGUUGUAAACUCUGACAAGCAGGGAAGAACGGCUAUGGUAAAAGGCCAUAGAAUGACGGUACCUGCCUGAAGCCCCGGCUAACUACGUG